CUCUCCUAAAAAACUGUGCAGGAACUCCUUCUUUCAUCUCUCCAACGGUAAGUUCCUACUCCUGUCAGAAAUAGGGGUCUCAACUUCUUGCCCAUUGGAGUUGCUCU